GAUGAACGCUGGCGGCGUGCCUAAUACAUGCAAGUCGAGCGAACAGACGAGGAGCUUGCUCCUCUGACGUUAGCGGCGGACGGGUGAGUAACACGUGGAUAACCUACCUAUAAGACUGGGAUAACUUCGGGAAACCGGAGCUAAUACCGGAUAAUAUAUUGAACCGCAUGGUUCAAUAGUGAAAGACGGUUUUGCUGUCACUUAUAGAUGGAUCCGCGCCGCAUUAGCUAGUUGGUAAGGUAACGGCUUACCAAGGCAACGAUGCGUAGCCGACCUGAGAGGGUGAUCGGCCACACUGGAACUGAGACACGGUCCACACUCCUACGGGCGGCAGCAGUAGGGAAUCUUCCGCAUUGGGCGAACGCCUGACGGAGCAACGCCGCGUGAGUAAUGAAGGUCUACGGAUCGUAAAACUCUGUUAUAAGGGAAGAACAAAUGUGUAAGUAACUAUGCACGUCUUGACCGUACCUAAUCAGAACGCCACGGCUACCUACGUG
rnacentral:rRNA from 1 species